CUCCUACGGGAGGCAGCAGUGAGGAAUAUUGGUCAAUGGGCGCAAGCCUGAACCAGCCAAGUCGCGUGAGGGAAGACGGUCCUAUGGAUUGUAAACUUCUUUUGUCGGGGAGCAAAGCGCGGUACGAGUACCGCGAAGGAGAGUACCCGAAGAAAAAGCAUCGGCUAACUCCGUGCCAGCAGCCGCGGUAAUACGGAGGAUGCGAGCGUUAUCCGGAUUUAUUGGGUUUAAAGGGUGCGCAGGCGGAAGAUCAAGUCAGCGGUAAAAUUGAGAGGCUCAACCUCUUCGAGCCGUUGAAACUGGUU
rnacentral:rRNA from 1 species